AGUCGUAACAAGGUUUCCGUAGGUGAACCUGCGGAAGGAUCAUUAAAGUGUUUCGGAGCCUGGCUCGGGCAUCUCACCUCGAGGUGUCGGUGUCAGCGCCCCCACACGUGUUUACUCAACUUGGUUGCCUUGGUGAGCCUGCCCUUGUGGCUGCCGGGGAUGCCUCACGGUGUUCCGGGCGUGUGCUCACCAGUGGAUCAUUUGAACUCUUCUGUGAAAAUAGUCAGUCUGAGCAUUAUGCAAAUUAAAUAAAACUUUCAACAACGGAUCUCUUGGUUCCGGCAUCGAUGAAGAACGCAGCGAAAUGCGAUAAGUAAUGUGAAUUGCAGAAUUCCGUGAAUCAUCGAAUCUUUGAACGCACAUUGCGCCCUCUGGUAUUCCGGGGGGCAUGCCUGUUCGAGCGUCAUUGCAACCCCUCAAGCACGGCUUGUGUGAUGGGCCAUCGUCCCCCGUGGACGGGCCUGAAAUGCAGUGGCAGCACCGAGUCCUGGUGUCUGAGUGUAUGGGAAUCUCUAUCGCUCAAAGACCCAAUCGGCGCUGAUGUCAGAUUUUUAUCCAGUUUGACCUCGGAUCAGGUAGGAGUACCCGCUGAACUUAAGCAUAUCAAUAAGCGGAGGAAAAGAAACCAACAGGGAUUGCCUCAGUAACGGCGAGUGAAGCGGCA
rnacentral:misc_RNA from 1 species